UGCUAGAGUUUACAAUGCAAACUGAGUUAUUCCCUCAUUUGUUUCUGACAAUAAUCUUAAGAGAUAAGGUAGAGAGAAGGGAGCUGUUACUCUCAUCUAACAGAUGAAAAAUUUGAGGCUCUGACUGGUCAACUGACUGUUCAAGGACGUUCUAAACGACUGGAUUGUAGAGAAGGGGGAAGCAGAAAGUAGAGAUAGCAUUUGCAGGGUCAGUUCUUGUUAGACCAGCAGGGAUCAUGCUGAAUAGCUAAGGAGAGGAAUGAAGGGGUGAAAAGAGUUGGCAUGCGAGACAGGUAAGAUGGAGCCCCCAGUCUCACAGGAGCUUUUGAUCUACACGGGGACAAGAGAGAUGUGAACAAACAUAACACAGAGAGUGGAAGAAGUGGAGCUUUAAGGAAGCUGGAGCCAAGGCUGAGUGGAGGUGCUUUGAUCUGGACUGUUUUGCUGAAACGUUUCCAGUUGCCUAUGGUGGUAGUAAGAAGAUGCUAAAAUAACUAACUAACUAACUAAAUAAAAGCCAUAGAUAAUUUAAGUCAUCAAAUCUCAACCAGGCCAAUCAAAACAACCAUAAAGACACAUCGAGAUGAAACUUCAAAUACUGUGGCACAGCUGUGGACUACGAAGAAACAAAGAACUAAACUCAGAUCAGAACAGUUGUUAAAAUAGAAUAAUAUGUCUGUGUCUCGGAGACUAAAAUACGCCUGGCACCAAGAGAAGUACUGAGUAUUGAAAGUUGAGACAAGUCACUCAUGACUUUUAUGGACUGGUGGUGAAGACAGGCAGUGAUUGAUACAUUAUAAAGUGGUCAGAUUCAGAACAGAAUUACUCACAGAAUUCUACGGAAAGACAGAAGAUAGAGCCCUAAAUCCAACCUGAAAGAAUCAUGACAAACUUCCUAGAAGACACCUGGGCUGAAUCUUAAAGGAACAACCUAAUUGUCAAGAGGGUAACAUGUUUUCAGAGUUGCCAUUGGAAUAGAAGUCCCUGAAGCUUCCUUGGCUUGUCAGCCUCAUUCCCUUCUGUCCGGCUUUCUCCUCAGCCACAUAACAUCACUCUCCCACCCAAUUUUUAGGUUCAUAUUUCUUUAAAUAGGCAAAGAUUUCUCUCCUUCAGGCAACCACUUGAAAACACCUAGCAAAAAAUUCUGAUUUGCCUGGCUUGAAUUUCCUUUGAAAUACUUAGUCCAAUCAUUUUGGCUGAGGUAAUGGUGUUUUCUGAUUGGUCUAGUUUGACCCAUCCAAUCUGCCUGGAAUGCUGGUUAUCUAAGCAACUUCUAUUUAAAACCUACAGAAGGAGAAAAGCAUUUAACAGAUGAUGCAGAAAAGAUUGUUGAUCAGAUUGAAUAGUUGACACUUCUAGGGACUACCAUUCAACCUACCAGUAGCAAAAGGAAUUACCACUCUGUGGAUACAUUUCAGGUCAUGUUUGCCUAAUGAAAGACUGUAAGUCUAAAAGAAAUAAACAUUUGCUGAGUUACA